AAAGGUGAAAAGCACCCCGGGAGGGGAGUGAAACAGUACCUGAAACCGUGCGCCCACGAGCAGUCGGAGCACCCUUGUGGUGUGACGGCGUGCCUUUUGUAGAAUGAGCCAGCGAGUCGCUGGCGCGGGGCGAGGUUAACCGAAAGGGAGCCGGAGCGAAAGCGAGCCUUAACAGGGCGACUUGAGUCCCGCGCCGCGGACGCGAAGCCGGGUGAGCUAUCCGUGGGCAGGCUGAAGCGGGGGUAAGACCCCGUGGAGGGCCGAACGCACGUCGGUUGAAAACGGCGGCGAUGACCUGCGGAUAGGGGUGAAAGGCCAAUCAAACCCGGAGAUAUCUCGUUCUCCCCGAAAUAGCUUUAGGGCUAGCGUCGCGCGUUCACCGCCGGAGGUAGAGCACCGGAUGGACGAGGGGGCUUCGCCGCCUACCGAAUCCAACCGAACUCCGAAUGCCGGCGGCCCAGAGCGCGGCAGUCAGAGCAUGUGGGCUAAGCUGUGUGCUCGAGAGGGAAACAGCCCGGACCGCCCGCUAAGGUCCCCAAGUUCCAGCCGAGUGGCAAAGGAUGUGCGUCCGCCCAGACAACCAGGAUGUUGGCUUAGAAGCAGCCAUCCAUUCAAAGAGUGCGUAACAGCUCACUGGUCGAGUGGACAUGCGCCGACAAUACACGGGGCUAAGCUGGACACCGAAGCGGCGGGAUUUUAUCUAUAUAGAAUCGGUAGGGGAGCUUCCCAUGGGCGGCGAAGCCGCCGGGCGACCGGCGGUGGAGCGCAUGGGAGUGAGAAUGCUGGCAUGAGUAGCGAGAGACGAGAGAGUAACUCGUCCGCCGUGAACCCGAGGUUUCCUGGGCAAGGCUAAUCCUCCCAGGGUCAGUCGGGGGCUAAGGCGAGGCCGGAAGGCGUAGCCGACGCGCAGCAGGCAGACAUUCCUGCACCGCGCACGCGGCGCUACGACCGACGGGGCGACGGAUGGGGGUGGCUCGGCGGGGUUCUGGACGUCCCCGUGAUGGAGCGCGGCCCGCGGACCAGGGAAAUCCGGUCCGCACGAGGGCGAGGCUCCGGACGAAGCGAUCAAGCGAAGCGAGUGAGCCCGAGGUCCCUAGAAAAACCCCUAGGCAGGCGCGUGCGCGCCCGUACCGCAAACCGACACAGGUGGGUGGGUAGAACAUACCGAGGCGAUCGGGUCAACCAUGGUCAAGGAACUCGGCACAAUGGCCCCGUAACUUCGGGAGAAGGGGUGCCCGCGCGUACGUGAACGGACUUGCUCCGGGAGCGGAGGCGGGCCGCAGUGGAGAGGCCCAAGCGACUGUUUACCAAAAACACAGGACUCUGCAGAAGCCGCAAGGCGACGUAUAGGGUCUGACGCCUGCCCGGUGCCGGAAGGUCACGCGGAGGAGUUAGCGCAUCGCGCGAAGCCCCGAAGCCAAGCCCCGGUAAACGGCGGCCGUAACUAUAACGGUCCUAAGGUAGCGAAAUUCCUUGUCGGGUAAGUUCCGACCUGCACGAAAGGCGCAACGACUUGGGCGCUGUCUCGACCAUGGACCCGGUGAAAUUGCACUGGUCGUGAAGAUGCGACUUACCCGCGGAAGGACGGAAAGACCCCGUGAACCUUCACUGCAGCUUGGCAUUGGCCGCUGGUCCCGCGUGUAGAGGAUAGGCAGGAGGCAUCGAUCCGGAGGCGCCAGCCCCCGGGGAGCCGCCCUUGGAAUACUGCCCUCGCGCGACCGGCGUCCUAACCCGAGGCCGUCAACCGGCUCGGGGACCGUGCCAGGCGGGCAGUUUGACUGGGGCGGUCGCCUCCUAAAGGGUAACGGAGGCGCGCGAAGGUCCGCUCGGGACGGUCGGCAACCGUCCUUUUGAAUGCAAGAGUACAAGCGGGCUUGACUGCGAGGCCCACAAGCCGAGCAGGUGCGAAAGCAGGCUCUAGUGAUCCGGCGGCCCCGAGUGGGUGGGCCGUCGCUCAACGGAUAAAAGGUACUCCGGGGAUAACAGGCUGAUCUUGCCCAAGAGUCCACAUCGACGGCAAGGUUUGGCACCUCGAUGUCGGCUCAUCGCAUCCUGGGGCUGGAGCAGGUCCCAAGGGUACGGCUGUUCGCCGUUUAAAGCGGUACGCGAGCUGGGUUCAGAACGUCGUGAGACAGUUCGGUCCCUAUCCUCCGUGGGCGCAGGAGAAUCGAUGGAGGCUGCCCCCAGUACGAGAGGACCGGGGUGGACGCACCUCCGGUGAACCGGUUGUCGACCAACGGCACGGCCGGGUAGCCGCGUGCGGCGCGGAUAACCGCUGAAGGCAUCUAAGCGGGAAGCCGUUCCAGGGAUUAGUUCUCCUUCCGGUAAGGGCCCAGGUAGACUACCUGGUCGAUAGACGGCAGGUGCAAGGGCGGCGACGUCCUCAGCCGAGCCGCACUAAUCGCCCGAG
rnacentral:rRNA from 1 species